UGUAUAAUUUGAAUAGAAAGUUUAAAAUAGUUUUUAUUUUAAAUAUCAAAAGGGUUCUCUUCCUAUUCCUUCAGUUAUCUAGCAUGGACAGCUCUCAAAGCACCCAGAUCAGCUUUGUUACACCACCCUUGCUGUCAUUUGUUUGUUUGUUUUGUUUGCAUGUACUAAAGCCAAAAUCCUCUGUGUGACACUUCACACUCCACCCCAGGCAAUUUCAAAGGGUUCACCAGGCAGGCUUCAUUGGUACAGCUGCGCUGGCCAGGUCAGACUUGCUGCAGGUCUGGAAGGAGUUGAAGUCAGGGAUCGAGUCCAAAUUUUGGAGCUUCUUGGAGUCUCAAUGUCUGUGGCCAGAAAGUGAAUGAACUGGACUGGAGCAUGCCCAAAGCUCCUCUGAGGCAUCUGGAAAGCUACCAGCAAACACAGGUCCUCUCUUGAACUCCUACAGCUUUUCUAUCACCUCAACAAUUUAACACAUGUUGCAUGUGCUCUAAAAAGGUUAGCUCUGCUUUUCUUUGUUUUGGUGUGUGUGUGUGUGUGUGUGUGUGUGUGUGUGUGUGUGAGAGUGCAUUUGACUUAGGCUUGUCUCCUUCAAAUAGAUGAAAUGUUCCUGAGGGCAGAGGCCCACCUUAUCCCUCAUACACCCCAUCGAAUUUACCGCAGUGCUGAACAUAUGUGUCAUGAUCAGGCAAAUUUCAUAAAUGAAUAAAGAUAAAUGGAUUUUCUAUGGCAGGAAAACAGUUGCUAUUGACUCUCAGUUU
rnacentral:lncRNA from 1 species